GGCCCAGCAACUCCUAUCCCUACCUCCACGCGGUACCGGCCGGAAACUAUGAGCAACCUUAGGGAAGAUCGGGUAACCAACCCCGGUGGGACCUUUGGUCGUAGGCUGACAGGGAAGG
rnacentral:ribozyme from 1 species